rnacentral:lncRNA from 1 species
UUUGGGCCCGUUUUCCUCAUUUGUUUGUUAUGUUUUUUUCAUUUUCACUAUCAGCACCCCCAGGCGACUACCAGCAUGCGCCCCAUCUGGGCUUUGUUUGCUUAAAAUAACCCAUUUCAUUUUCCUGGUGCCAUACGCCCUAGUGGGCUUAAGAGACAUUUCAGGGUCCAUUUUAUUUCUUUUUUUGUGUUAGCAUAGGUUAAUUUAAAUUUAUUUGAUUCAAG